GCAGUCUUGAAGACCCAGCCCCACAGUCCUGUCCAUCCUAAAGCCAUGGGUGGUUUUUUGCUUCCUGCUUUAGUCACUGCCAAGCCAUCAUGCUCUGAGGAAGCCCAAACCAGCCAAUGCUGAGAGACCACAUAGAGAGAAACCAUUCAGACAAGAGCAGAAGCUGCAACCUAUCAUCUGCAUCAACAGAUUGGAGCACAAGUGAUGUAUUCAGUGCUGCAUGCCCAUGGUUAAGACCCUUGACUAAGCUGAUAGAGGGUGUGGCUACUGCCUUCCAAGUUAGCUGUCCAUGGUUCAUAUCUUUCAUCCACUCCUUACAACCUGUGCGAUUCUAGUGUACCAGAAUUCAUUGUUUAUGUACCACACCCAGUUCUCC